GUGGGGAAUAUUGGACAAUGGGGGGAACCCUGAUCCAGCCAUGCCGCGUGUGUGAAGAAGGCCUUUUGGUUGUAAAGCACUUUAAGCGAGGAGGAGGCUACCGAGAUUAAUACUCUUGGAUAGUGGACGUUACUCGCAGAAUAAGCACCGUCUAACUCUGUGCCAGCAGCCGCGGUAGUACAGAGGGUGCAAGCGUUAAUCGGAUUUACUGGGCGUAAAGCGCGCGUAGGUGGCCAAUUAAGUCAAAUGUGAAAUCCCCGAGCUUAACUUGGGAAUUGCAUUCGAUACUGGUUGGCUAGAGUAUGGGAGAGGAUGGUAGAAUUCCAGGUGUAGCGGUGAAAUGCGUAGAGAUCUGGAGGAAUACCGAUGGCGAAGGCAGCCAUCUGGCCUAAUACUGACACUGAGGUGCGAAAGCAUGGGGAGCAAACAGGAUUAGAUACCCGAGUAGUCC
rnacentral:rRNA from 1 species